rnacentral:rRNA from 1 species
CAAUAGCGUAUAUUAAAGUUGUUGCAGUUAAAAAGCUCGUAGUUGGAUUUCUGGUUGAAGCGACCGGUCGGGCGUUGAUUCGUCUGCACUGGAGUCGGUUUUGGCCAUCCUCUAGGAAAGUGCGUCUGGUAUUAAGUUAUCGGGCGUAUGAUCCUGGUCUUUUACUGUGAAAAAAUUAGAGUGUUUAAAGCAGGCCUUCGCCUUGAAUACAUUAGCAUGGAAUAAUAAGAUAGGACUUUGGUCUAUUUUGUUGGUUUGCAGACCGAAGUAAUGAUUAAUAGGGAUGGUUGGGGGUAUUUAUAUUCCGAUGUCAGAGGUGAAAUUCUUAGAUUUUCGGAAGAUAAACUUAUGCGAAAGCAUUUACCAAGGAUGUUUUCAUUAA